UUGGCCUACGGGACGCAGCAGUGGGGAAUAUUGCACAAUGGGGGAAACCCUGAUGCAGCGACGCCGCGUGAGUGAAGAAGUAUUUCGGUAUGUAAAGCUCUAUCAGCAGGGAAGAUAAUGACGGUACCUGACUAAGAAGCCCCGGCUAACUACGUGCCAGCAGCCGCGGUAAUACGUAGGGGGCAAGCGUUAUCCGGAUUUACUGGGUGUAAAGGGAGCGUAGACGGUGAGACAAGUCUGAAGUGAAAGCCCGGGG
rnacentral:rRNA from 1 species